rnacentral:hammerhead_ribozyme from 1 species
AUCCAGCUGACGAGUUUCGGACCGGGACGAAACGUGCGUCAAACUGGAU